rnacentral:rRNA from 1 species
AAGGGUGCGUACGCGGCGUUGUAAGUCAGUGGUGAAAGUUUCAGCUUAACUGGAAAAUUGCCAUUGAUACUGCAGUGCUUGAGUAUAGAUGAGGUGGGCGGAAUGUGUCAUGUAGCGGUGAAAUGCAUAGAUAUGACACAGAACACCGAUUGCGAAGGCAGCUCACUAAACUAUAACUGACGCUGAGGCACGAAAGCGUGGGGAUCAAACAGGAUUAGAUACCCUGGUAGUCCACGCCCUAGACGAUGAUUACUCGAUGUUAGCGAUAUACUGUUAGCGUCAAAGCGAAAGCGUUAAGUAAUCCACCUGGGGAGUACGCCCGCAAGGGUGAAACUCAAAGGAAUUGACGGGGGCCCGCACAAGCGGACGAGCAUGUGGUUUAAUUCGAUGAUACGCGAGGAACCUUACCCGGGCUUGAAAGUUAGUGAAUGAUUUAGAAAUAGAUCAGUGAGCAAUCACACGAAACUAGGUGCUGCAUGGCUGUCGUCAGCUCGUGCCGUGAGGUGUUGGGUUAAGUCCCGCAACGAGCGCAACCCCUAUGUUUAGUUGCCAGCACGUUAAGGUGGGGACUCUAAACAGACUGCCUACGCAAGUAGAGAGGAAGGAGGGGACGACGUCAAGUCAUCAUGGCCCUUACGUCCGGGGCUACACACGUGCUACAAUGGUUGGUACAGAGGGCUGCAAGCUGGUAACAGUAAGCUAAUCUCCAAAAGCCAAUCACAGUUCGGAUUGAGGUCUGCAACUCGACCUCAUGAAGUUGGAUUCGCUAGU